rnacentral:rRNA from 1 species
UACAGAGGGGGCAAGCGUUAUUCGGAAUUAUUGGGCGUAAAGGGCGCGUAGGCGGCUUGGCAAGUGGAUGGUGAAAUCCCUCGGCUUAACCGAGGAACUGCCGUCCAAACUGCUUUGCUUGAGACCGGGAGAGGUGAGUGGAAUUCCCAGUGUAGCGGUGAAAUGCGUAGAUAUUGGGAGGAACACCAGUGGCGAAGGCGACUUUCUGGCCUGUUCUUGACGCUGAGGCGCGAAAGCUAGGGGAGCAAACGGG